GGCUGGAGUGCAUUUUCUGCUAUGCUGAGGGCAUUUCAGGAACUGGCCAGAUCUCAUCCAUCAGCAGGCUCAGAAGUAUAAAAAUAUGGAAAGAACACAGAAGCCACCUUCAGAAGGAGACUCCAGCACCCUGAAACAUGGUGACAUAUUUGGCUUAUCCAGCCAGGACAGCAGGUCCGGUAUCUUCCUGUAUAGGAGGAGAAAACUUUGUCCACCUUAAAACUCCCGCCCUUCUGCCUACAUCAGCCAGUGGCAGCCAAGUAGGCACUAGCUGACUCGAAGCCCUCUGGAUCCUAAAGCCUGCCUAGAGCUACCACUUUUUGGCCUCCUUUCUUUGUUUCUUCUAACGAAAUGCAGGACCCAGAGGAGGGACAAAAGAGAAAAGCUAAGAUUAUAGCUGCUGCAACUGGCAAUGCUGUAAGCUCAUGCAAACUGUCGAAGUGAAAACCCAGGACAACUGAGGAAAGGGUUCCUGUUUCAAGUAUAAGAAGACUGGACACUGGGCAUGAGAUUACACCAAACCUCUGCCUGGGUCCAGCUCCACAUAUGAGGCAGCUCAUGCACCUGACUCAUGGCAUUGGAGGCUUGACUGUCCCCACUCCCAGAGGGGGCCAGGCCAGCCAAAAUCCUCACUUCUUGUUGUGAUGACUGACGAGGCCCUAGGGAGCCUGCAAUGCCCCUGUCCAUGGACAUUGCCAUCUCCUCCGAGGAACCCUGGGUAAUCUUAGAUGUCAUGGGCAAGCCAACUGCUUAUCAGUACAGGGGAAGCUCAUUGAAUUUUGAUUUCCUUUUCUGGAAAGCCCUCCUCUAAGCCUAUAGGUAUAGCUUUGGUCAAGAGGACCCCUAACUAGAGAUUCUUUACUCUUCCUUUGAUGGGUCACUCUGAAGGCCAGAUGUUUAACCUUGAGUUUCUAAUGUUCCAUAGUGUCCUACUCCCUUGCUAGGAAGAGAUUUACUAGCAAAAUUGGGGGCAAUUUUCAAAUUCUGGCUAUGGCUAAGGUGGAUUUUACCUGCUGGGACUACCCCAGGUCUCCCUGAUCAAAUUAGCUAACAGGUGGAUCCUGCUGCAUGAUACCAUGGAAUACCUGGACAGACACAUUUACCUAUGCCAGAAGUUAUAAAACUAAAAGACCCCAGCUGGUUUCCUAACCAAAAGCAGUAUCCAAUCAAAGAAGAGCCAGGUAAAGGCCUCCAGUCUUUCAUAGACAGGUUUCUCAAACAUGAUGUUCUGAAGCCUUGGAAAUCCUCUUGCAAUAUUCCUAUUCUCUUGUAGUAAAGCCCUCAGGAGAAUAUAGGAUAGUACAAGACCUCUGCCUCAUUAACAAGGCUGUUGUUCUGAUCCAUCAUCUAGUGGCAGAUUCACAUACAAUUCUCUCCCAAAUUCUAGGGAACACUAAUUGGUUCUCAGUCUUGGAUUUAACAGAUGAAUUCUUCUCCAUCCCCCUAUAUCCAAACUCUCAGUUUUUGUUUGUCUUUGAAUGGGAAAACCCCAUUUCAAAAGAAAAGCACCAACAUAGUAGGACAGUUCUCCCACAGGGUUUAGAAACAGCCCUCGCCUUUUCACUCAGGCACUAGAGAAAGACUUGAGGAACCUAAAGCUUAAUCAGGGAAUUAUCCUACAAUAUGUGGAUGAUAUUUUAGUUUGUAGCCCAACUUGUGAGUUAUCCAACUAUAACACUAUACAGACUGUCAGCUUUCUAGCUAAGAAGGGUUAUAAAUUCUUCCCCCCACCAAAAGAAAAAGGUUCAGAUAGCCCUUCAAAAAGUUCAGUAUUUGAGAUAUGUUCUUAUACUGAGAGAAUCACAGCUGUCUAGGGACCAGAUCCAGGCUCUCUAAUCUUGGACCUCCUGCCACCAAACAAUAGCUUUGUUCCUUCCUGGGAAUGGUAGGCUUGUGUAGGGUCUGGCUACCUAAUUUUGAACUAAUGGCAAAGCCUUUAUAUCGGGCUAUAAAGACCCUGAGUCUGUGCCCCUAGAAUGGACAAAAAUGACUGACAAUGCCUUUAGGAAAAUAAAACAUGCCCUUACUUAGGCUCCAGCACUGGGAAUCCCUGACUUAAGAAAACCUUCUUGGGCCAGGGGUAUACUCAGUAACACAGUGCCUGCCUGACAAGCACAAGGUCCUGACUUUGAUUCCUUGUACAAAAAAGAAAGAAAGAAAGAAAACCCUUCUUCCUCUCUGUAACGGAAAAAAGAGAAAUUGCUUUGGGGGGCCUUAAUCCAAAGACUAGGACAAGAACCCCACCUGUGGCAUACUUUAAGAAAAAAAAGUUAGAUGGAGUAGCUGCUGCAAGGCCACCCUGCCUGAGAGCAGUAGCAGCUAGAGCUGUGCUAACAGAAGAAGCUGCAAGGGGCUGGGGAUUUAGCUCAGCGGCAAAAGCGCCUGCCUGGUAAGC